UUCACGAUUGUACCAUUUUUGUCAAUUUUGUUUUUUAUAGUAGGCCAAUAUAGUAGGAGAUUGGUUGGCAACACUAUCAAUCAAUUAUCAAUUAUAUGGGGACGCCACUGUUAGAAUGUUCUAAAGUUGUUUUAGGAGGUGGUCCCAGUAAGGAACCAAAAGAAGAUCCAAAUAUUGACAGAGUAAUUUCCCUCAUUAAAACUAAUGUAGAAGGUUUCAGCAAAAUCUAUGACUUAGACUCUCUAUUCAAACUUUAGACAACGACUCAACUGCUGAAAAUGGAAACUUUGAAUGAGCUCGAGAUAUGUCAAGAUGAGUAUAACUAUGCUUUGGAAUCUGAGGUUCCAAAUGUGAGGCUUUAACAACUACUAUCCUCAGAGAGGAUCACCCGAAGGGACACUCCAUCUUCUGCCUCCUUGGGCUGCCAACGACCCAGCUUUUCCAGGGACCACUAAGCCACCAUCGCCUACCACCAGGAAGGAUAAUGAUUAUGCCAACUUUAUUACCGCCAGGAAUAAACUAUAUUCAACAUUUAAAGAAAAUCAUUGGAGUCAUUUUCAAGAUCUUGGUACAAGCAAUUCCUAGAGGAACUAACUCCGAUGCAAGAGCUGGAGUUGGACUUGUCGUUCCGGAGUCAGAGUAGUUCUUUCGGAGUAGUUCGUUCCGGAGUUACUCACCUCUGAUCACAUCAUCAGUCCACUAGAAAACUCCAAACCAGAUGAUCUGGGUGUAAUUUCUAUACACUUUUUCAUCGAGUAUGAGGAACACUUCAAUUCUUACCUAGGCAGCAUAGAGAAGAUACAGCUCGUACAGGUUACCUGAGGUUUUGAUGGUGUACAGAGUCUAUGACAGACCUCAACAUCCUGUCGACUAACCAGAUUCAUCCGAAACUUUCGAGUCAGUGAGUUACUAUGGCUGAACGUUGGCU